rnacentral:tRNA from 11 species
GUCCCCAUCGUCUAGUGGCCUAGGACGGCGGCCUCUCACGCCGCUAACAGGGGUUCAAAUCCCCUUGGGGACGCCA